CAGACUGAGUCAAGUUCCCACCAUGACAGUUGUACAAAGUGUCCUCCUCUUGGCUCUCAUUUCAGCUGCUCAGGGCCAGUCCCUCACCUCCUCAGAGCCAGUGGUGAGCAGACCUGGACAACCAGUCACUCUGUCCUGUAAUGUGAACGGACUGCCUCUAGCUUGGCUGCACUGGAUUCGUCAGAAACCAGGGAAAGGACUGGAAUGGAUCGGACGCAUUGAUAGCGGAACUGACACAAUAUUUGCCCAAAGUGUCCGAGGCCAGUUUUCCAUCACCAAAGACACUUCCCAAAAUCUUGUGCCCUUAGAGGUUAAAAGUCUGAAACAAGAAGACUCUGCA